AUUGAACGCUGGCGGCAGGCCUAACACAUGCAAGUCGAGCGGAUGAAGGGAGCUUGCUCCUGGAUUCAGCGGCGGACGGGUGAGUAAUGCCUAGGAAUCUGCCUGGUAGUGGGGGACAACGUUUCGAAAGGAACGCUAAUACCGCAUACGUCCUACGGGAGAAAGCAGGGGACCUUCGGGCCUUGCGCUAUCAGCUGAGCCUAGGUCGGAUUAGCUAGUUGGUGAGGUAAUGGCUAACCAAGGCGACGAUCCGUAACUGGUCUGAGAGGAUGAUCAGUCACACUGGAACUGAGACACGGUCCAGACUCCUACGGGAGGCAGCAGUGGGGAAUAUUGGACAAUGGGCGAAAGCCUGAUCCAGCCAUGCCGCGUGUGUGAAGAAGGUCUUCGGAUUGUAAAGCACUUUAAGUUGGGAGGAAGGGUUGUAGAUUAAUACUCUGCAAUUUUGACGUUACCGACAGAAUAAGCACCGGCUAACUCUGUGCCAGCCGCCGCGGUAACAC
rnacentral:rRNA from 1 species